GGAAAACCUACUUUCAUGUUGACGUCAUGUAAACAAAUAGAACGAAAGUAAAUCACGAAAAGAUAACAGAAAAUAUAACAAAUAAAGAUAGUUGAAACAUUGAGAUAAAAGAAAUUGACAGAUUUAAAGAAUCUAAAUUGACAAAGAAGAUAAACUUGCUAUAAAUUAUUCGCUGGAGAAAUGAAGACUUCGUUAAUAAGUCACAUCUUCCUUGCAAUGGUUUUUGUUAUAAGCUUGAAUCGUCAGUCGUGCAUUGCCAAAGCCAUUCCCUAUUCACAAGGAAAUGUAGAGAUGCCAGCAACAGUUAAGGUGAAGGUCGUAGCUACAGAUAAAAGACAAAGAAGGUAUAUCGACCAGUUUCCUGACCAAUUAGAUGUUGACGUGUCAACAGAUGAAUUGCAUGAACAUUUUCAAAAUCUAAAAAGAAAUCAUCACGUUCCGCAUAUUAAGUAUGUUCACAUGAUGGAAAAUGGAGCAGUUAAAAAGUUCAGAUUUGAAAGAAAAGAGGUAAUCCAUUAUUUUGUUGCAAUAUCUUCAGUCACUUAUACGUAACCUUUUUUUCUAAUGUCUUUGUUUAUGAA